CUCAGCUGAAUUUGUUUACAUAAGUUGAAGGGAUCAAGCAUGGUUUUUAUAGCUGAUUUAUAUUAUGAAUUUCUUUUAAGAGUACGGUAUUUAGUACCCCCUAAAUAGAGAGAACUGUAUACGGGUUAAACACAAUAAAAAAGCCGCCAGAAUAUUAAUACAUAUUUUAAAAGUUAAUAUACAUAGGUGAAGUAGUUUUAAUAGUACCUACCUAAAUUCUUCUUAUACUGAAUACUUCUUUAAUAAGCCAUGCCAAUCCGUGAUCAUAUGAGAAACAUUGAUGAGUCAGUCAAAUGUAAAAAAGAAGUCAAGAUAUUUAGGAAGUGCCAAGAAAAGCAUCCAGUAAGUAGAUUCAUUGGAAGAUGUGAGAGACAAUUUAUGAAAGUGUAUCACUGUCUAAAGGAAGAAGUUCGAGAACAGGAGAUGCUUGCUAAAGAGCAAGAAACCAGCAACAAGAAUAGUUAAAGAAUGUAGUAUUUUUUGUGUAAAUAAAAUUUUAAUAACUUUUUUA